UACGAAGGGGGCUAGCGUUGUUCGGAAUUACUGGGCGUAAAGGGCGCGUAGGCUGUGCUGUAAGUCAGGCGUGAAAGCCCUGGGCUCAACCUGGGAAUUGCGCUUGAUACUGCGGCGCUGGAAGGUGGGAGAGGAUGGCGGAAUUCCCAGUGUAGAGGUGAAAUUCGUAGAUAUGCGGAGGAACACCGAUGGCGAAGGCAAUCCCCUGGGCCUGCACUGACGCUCAUGCACGAAAGCGUGGGGAGCAAACAGG
rnacentral:rRNA from 1 species